rnacentral:lncRNA from 1 species
GUUUCUCAAUUUGACUUAGGGAAGAAUGACAGUGGCUGAUUAUGAAGCUAAGUUUUUUAAGCUGUCUCACUUUGCUCCAGCAUUUAUAAUGGAUGAAAAGAAAAAAUAUUGGUUAUUUUAGGAUGGGCUGCACCUUGAGAUUAAGGCAAAAACAAAAAUGCAUAACUAUAUCUGUUUUGCAGAAUUAGUUGUGGGAGCUAUCAGGAUAGAAAAGAUUGAAAAGAAAUUUUAUAAUCAUAGGCAAG